AUUAUAACCUGCCGAACUUCAUUUUUUUUUGUUGUUAAUAUGUAUUUUUUAACCUUUUUAAAAUAUAUUUGUGUAAUAACAUUUGAAGGAGCACAGCUAUUCAAUAACCUAAGAUUAUGUAAAGGUCGCAGACUCGAUCACUAUUUUCAAACGGAGACUUAAACUAAACAUCACAUCAAAUGACAUAGUUCGACUACGAAUAUUUUUUAUCGUUGGUUUUUUUUUCUUUUUUCUCCUUUUAACUUCUCUCAAGCGUUGGUUGCACGAUUCACAAAAUCACUGACCACGUCUGCCACCUACAAACUAGAAUCUAACUAAAUCUGUUACGUAAAUGUUGUUGUUUCUCAUGCAAAUACUGUAUGGUUAUAAAUGAGAAAAUAAAGAUCUUUAACUUUAAUACAAAACUUUGUCCUGCCAGUGAUAAAGAAAAUUGAGUUCGAUUGUUCAAUUGAGUGCAGUGGCAAUGUUAUGCGCGUUUAUAGAUUUCAGCGAUUCACUUUUAUUUAUAUAGAUUAAUUAUUUAUUUAACUACAAUGAACAAACAAGCAAUAUCUUAAGAUUUUAACGAAAUUAUUGAAAUUUGUAUUAAAAAUAAUUUUAGGGUUACCAUCUAAAAAGAUAAAAUAUAGAAUGAACUUUAAAUUUUUUUGAUGAAUUUAAAAUUAUAUUUAUAUCAAUCACAAUUUCAAUCAGCCUGUUAUAUCUUACUGCUGGCCAUAGGCUUUUUUCUCCAUGUAGAAAUAUUGAAGCUUAACACGUUUAACGCCAUGGGGGACACCAGCUGGGCCUCUUGUUUCGUCCAUGGAGCCAGUUUAAAAGUCCUUAUUUAUAAAAUGUAUAUGAUAAGUUUUUAUUGCAUUACCUUAUUCAUACUUAAAGAUCUUACUUAUUUUUCCUUACACAAUAUGACAUAUUCUUCUAAGUCAUAUUUUUUAAGUUGACUCUGGCUUCCGUUCAUGUGCUGUCCCCCGCGACAACAACGGAUAAAAUUGUACGUCGACUACACGGUGUCGUCCCCCAUGGCCCAAACAUAAAAACUAAAAAAAAAAAUUAGCCGGCGUUUAAUGUAUUCAUCCACCACGCUUCUCCACUUCGGGUUGGCGUUAUUGAGUUAUAUUCAAGCUUAAGUAAUAAUAUAUAAAGAUCUGUAUACGGUAAUAAUUAAAUAUCGUUUAUUGUAAUAACAAAUAAUACUAUGAAAAUGACUGUCUUUAUAAUUAUAUGCAGCGUAAAAAUUUAAUUUAGAAAUGUAAUAUCUUGUAUAUGUUAUCUUUGUUCUGACCUUUAAAAUUUUGUUACUAUUACUAAGGGCCUGUUUCACCGUAUCCAACAGAUAAAACUUUUUGAUAUAUUAUUCGCUUUUAAUAUCGAAUCUUAAUAGAAUUCUUCUGUGUGAUUCUUGAAAGUUGUGGUUGAUUAAUUGAGAAGUAACAGAUCCUAAGGGCCCAUUCUACCUGCUUCUGUAAAAGUUUAUUCGUAACUUAUCUGCAGGAUAUGAUACAUCUACAAUCAAAACAGGCUCUAAGAGCACAUAUUUAAAGCAUAAUUUUAUUUCAAAUGUGAUAUAUUUUGUUUCGUACUACAAUAAAUUUUACCAAUGAAAUUACCAUAGAUUGUAUUUAUUAUUUUGAGUAUAUCGGGAGAUAAUUUUCAAGAUCUAGUCAUUUCCACUUUUCCAAUAAAAAGACAAGGGAUGGGUUCAAAACUGUAAAAUUCAUAGCAUAUUAUGGCUCUCCCCGAUUAAAAAAAGGUAGAAAAUAAAUUAUAAAUUCAAAAAAUUGAAUUUUGGAUAUGACUGACUGAAAAUCACAUCCUGAUUUUUUUUUAAUUUAAGUUAGAGGCUAAAGCAAUAAUUGUACCUUAAAACGAGUCAUAUAAAUGAGUAUUUACUGUCCGAUGUUAUUCUUUAAUAAUUUAUUUGUUAUAUUAUAAUUUGAAGUAUUAUUUUUUUACCAAAAAAAGUUUGUUUUGCACAAAUAAUUGUGAUUACGUAUGGCACUGUGUUCGUGUGUCUGAGUGUUGAUGGUUUGUAUUAAUUUAUUUCAUUAAAUGUUAUUAUAGUAAUAAA